rnacentral:misc_RNA from 1 species
CUCCAUGACUACACCGUUGCCGCUCACAUGACGGUGGAGUUUACAGAGUUGGAUGAGGCAAAUCGCAAGGUGCGAGAGUGGAAACGGGAGGCAAAGCAAUCCGCGCCUGUCAGCCUCGCUGGCGGUAUUGAUCUGACCAUGUGUCUUGACGAGAUGCAGAUCGUGGUACCCCCGCUUUCGCCUUUUCAGGUGCUGCGCACCAGCGACAUCCUCACCCAGUUGGUUCACAUACCAUCUAUCACUACCACAGCAGCCGCCAGUGCCGCCUUCGGUGCACUUGUGACGCUGCUAUUCGCUACGAAAAGGAGCGUUACCUCUGUUGCACAGCAGGGGUUCUUGAGACGGUGGGCGCACCGACUGUUGCGCAUCAUGGUCACUGCCGUGGCAUCAGUUGUGUUUGCUCGAUUUCUGCGUGAGCGUUACCCGACAGUGCAGCGUGUCUCGCAGUACGAAAACUUGUCCAGAUCUCCAGAUGGUCCGUGUUUCGUCGCGAAUCGCAUCCUGACCAUGACGAGCUCACAGGCCGGCACACACGCCGAUGGGCCGCAUCAUUUCUGCCGCAGUCUGUCUCACCGCAACUACGACGACGCGCACUACAGCGGCGAUGCCGUCGUUCUGGAUAUCACCACAGAGCUGCGCGAGCAUCACCAAUCGCUGGAUCCUGAUGCCCCUCUGGCGAUCACGGUGGAAGUGCUGGAAAAGGCUCGAGUGAAACUGCCCGCGGCGUUUCGGGACGGUUCCCGACCUGUGUGGCGCCUGCUGCUUAUUACCCGGCACUCAACAACCACUAGCGCCACCAGCACAGGCACCACGGAGGCGUUGACGGAACCCCUUCGCGUUUUCGUUCCGCUGGACGUUGCGUCAGCGACACAUGUGGCCGCGGCAGGUGCCAAGGGCGCUACUACUGCGAUGCCGUCUGAGUCCCCGUCGAACGCGUACGCGUUUCUGUACCCGGAAGCGGUGGAUUAUCUGCAUCGCGUCUUCCCUCGCUUGGUACUACUGGGCAUAGACAGCCCUUCCGUCGAUGCACCGCAGGCGAUGCCGCCGGGGAAGCACAGUCACGGUUCCCUGCUGCGGUGCGGCAUAGCGAUUCUGGAGAACCUCCGCUAUACCCGCCUCUCCCCGCUGCUCGAGAGCCCCGCAGGGGACCACCACCGCGGAUGGAUCUCUGGGUCGAUGCUGACGGUCUUCAACGCCACGCAAAAUUACGAUGACGCUCGCGGGUGCUCCGUCAUCUUCUUUCCGGAGGAGGCGCUAUGAUGAACAUUUUUGCGACGCCGUCUCCCUCCUGAUGCUGCGGCGGCCCGAGAGAAUGCAAGCAGAACUUACGGCUCGGUGGCUGCCCUUGCAUUCCCCACGUGCGAUUACGUCUCCUCGUUGGUGGGGUGUGCUUUUCUAUAUUUUGCGCAC